AUGAAUGUAUUAAGUGGCAGUAUCGUAGCCAAUGAGGUCAACCCGAGGCGCGAUUAUUGCUAGUUGAAAACUUUUCCCUAGUGCAGACUGACCAGGAACCAGGGCCCUGGCAGUCAUUGGCCCCUGUGUUGGGG
rfam:Alligator mississippiensis ScZkoYb_99, whole genome shotgun sequence.